GCCUGGGUGGCUCAGUCACUUGGGUGUCUGACUUCGGCUCAGGUCAUGAUCUCACGGAUCGUGGGUUCGAGCCCCACGUUGGGCU
rnacentral:tRNA from 1 species